CAUCCUUCUAGUUGCUUUAUGUGGGACACUGCCUCAGCAUGGCUUGAUGAGCAGUGAGGAGGUCCACGCCCAGCAUCCAAAUCAACUAACCCCAGUGAAAC